rnacentral:rRNA from 1 species
GUGCCAGCAGCCGCGGUAAUACGGAGGGUGCAAGCGUUAUCCGGAUUCACUGGGUUUAAAGGGUGCGUAGGCGGGCAUGUAAGUCAGUGGUGAAAUCUCCGGGCUUAACCCGGAAAUUGCCGUUGAUACUAUGUGUCUUGAAUAUCGUUGAGGUUUGCGGAAUAUGUCAUGUAGCGGUGAAAUGCUUAGAUAUGACAUAGAACACCAAUUGCGAAGGCAGCAGGCUAAACGAACAUUGACGCUGAGGCACGAAAGCGUGGGGAUCAAACAGGAUUAGAUACCCUCGUAGUCC